AUUUUCAAUUUUUCACUUCCCACCAUUCGACCAAAACCCGAGCUCGCGCUUCCCUCUCUCAAAAUCACUCUUCAUCUCCCCGAGCAGCCAUCUAUCUCUCCCACUCUCCCUGUCAGCUUUCUCUCUCUUCCACUCAACAAAACUACCUCUCUCUUCUCACAGCGCCCAUCUUUCUCCUUCGCCUUUACAAAAAUAAGAGAAAGUGGGAAGAAGAAAACAUAUAGCGCCAUAUAGACGAUGAUUGAGAAAUCGAAACCCAAAUUUCUCUUACUCUUUCUCUCCGCCCCCUUCUGCAAAACCCUAGCUUUCUCUCGCCGCCGCCCCAUCAAUACAGAAGCCCACCGAACUGGUUGAAGAUCUCUAUUCCCGAUGUAAGCAAAUCUCCAAACCCUAGAUUUCUGAUGUGGGUUUUGUAAUUUGGGGGUUUUUAAUUGGGAGACCUAGAAUUUUAUAUCGAAGACGGAGAUGGACUCGAAGACGGAAACGAAAAAAUGCAGAGUAGCUUAGCAGCAGCAGAAACAGUUGGUAACUACGAAGACCUCCUGAAACAGGUCCUCCUACGUUUACCAGCUCGAUCACUCAUCCGCUUCAUAUGCGUCUCUAAGCUUUGGCUCUCUCAUCUCCAGCCCCAAAUUCUGCGAAUCUCACACCCUCUAAAACCCAAUCCCAAGAAUGGGGAGGUUGAGUCGGUAAUUGGGUAUUGUCGAAUUUCUCAUCAAGUCUACAACAAAGUUGAUGAUUAUUACAAGUUCAGAGACGCAAUCAAUCAACUUGUUUCUGAAGGGUUUACUUGUGCUCUACUUUCUAAUUGAUGAGUUCGAUGAAGCAACCGAAGAAGUUCUUCAGAUGAAUAACGUCCAUGGUUAUCUGCCUCUUCUGCAUGCCUCCUUGUUGUUGUAAAUGUUUAAUGACUCAUUUGUAUGGUUAUAUAACUUUGACAAAGUACUAGAUAAUAUAAAACUUGUGACACUGAAAGUUUGCUAUAUAAACCCCUUGUUACAAUUUUUGUCAAUUUCUCACAGAUGCUCCUUUAGUGGUAAGAGUUUCUUGUUCACUUUUCAUUUAUAUUGCAUUGGCGUUUUGUAAAAUAGCAUUCAUUCUCACCAUGCUUUCUUUACAGGUCAACACUUGCAAUGGAUUUUAUUGUGAUCAAUUCACCCCAAAUUCUGCUUCUGGUUUUCUCUUUAGGCGUUGAGAUAAAAAAGAGUUGUGGUUAAUUUGAGAGUUUGUAAUCAUCAUGAGACUGCCAAUAUGUUUGAAUAAAUUUUUAUACACUGAACUAGGUACAUGUUAGUUGUUCGAUUUACCAAGAUAUAGGUAAUUAACUUAUUUCUUUUCUUUUGUGUGCAGACUAUAGUCCUCAAGGUUGUGUGUAAACUAGAAGGCAGGUGCUAAAGAGAAGGGUUUGAAGCCAAUAUAGGUGCAUAUGCAAUUGGGAACCAAAGUGUUGUGGAGCUCUUCUUUCCUUUAUCUGUUUUGGUAUUUAAUUUAGUAUGUUUUUGGCCUUUAGGUA